rfam:Mus musculus chromosome 10, GRC primary reference assembly.
ACUAAUGUUAAAACAAUACAUUCAAAAGUUAUGAUAUCUAAGCAGGGUCUGGCCAGGUUAAUACUUGGAUGGGGGAGCACCUGGGAAUACCAGGUGCUGUAGGCU